rnacentral:rRNA from 1 species
UACAGAGGUCCCAAGCGUUGUUCGGAUUCACUGGGCGUAAAGGGUGCGUAGGUGGUCGGGUAAGUCUGAUGUGAAAUCUCCGGGCCUAACCCGGAAACUGCAUCGGAUACUAUUCGGCUAGAGGGUUGGAGAGGGGACUGGAAUACUUGGUGUAGCAGUGAAAUGCGUAGAUAUCAAGUGGAACACCAGUGGCGAAGGCGAGUCCCUGGACAACUCCUGACACUGAGGCACGAAAGCUAGGGGAGCAAACAGG